rnacentral:lncRNA from 10 species
GCAACACACUGGUUUGGCAUCUAGCGGGUUGUGCUUGCAGAACAGCAGGCUGGCUCCGUGCACCUGCUCAGUGGGGCUGGGCUUUAGCAACCUGCAUUGAGGCUGCUCUUCUUAACUUUUCUCUAACUUGCUUCAUGAAAGUUAAUUCUGCUGGGACCCCACGAGGCAGCGGAGAGCCCACUCUGCCCAUGAUUGGUGCCCUGGGCUGGCACGCAGAGUUUAAUGGAGGAGCCCGGGAGAGAGGGAUGCCUGAGAACCAGGGAUGUGGGCUGGAGCAGUGCCACCUCCUCUAACUCACCCGCAAGCCCAGCCAACCGGCUAAACCUUCCCCACAGAGCCUCAGUCUCCUUAUCUGUAAAAUGGAUUACCUGGCACUUGUCCAGUCUUUCUGCAGUCAACAUCGCCCAGAUUCCAUGCAGAACCCUUUGCAGACUCCUGAGGAGGUACAGACAAGGAGUGUCCCUGUCCUCAUGGUGCUACAUGAAAAGGGAUCAGGACAGCAUAGUGUGUCCUCUGUCUUGAGAAGUUCGCAUCCAGCUCUGCCAUGGACCAGCCAUGCUCAUGGAUUGCCUCUCAUUUUGCUACGGACAGGAGACAGGAAAAUACUGGGUAGAAGAGGGCGGUUCCCGACAAAGGCCCCAACCUCAAGCCUGAAGACCCACGACCCUAAAUGAGGACAGCCAUUUCUGAUUUUGUGCCCAAAAAUUUGCCUUUUGGCCUGCCACACCCAACAUCUUGCCCCUAUAUAAACCCGAGACCUUAGCGGGCACACACACAAUCAGCCAAAUGUUGGGAUUAGCAGACCAGUGGACCAGCGGACCAGCAGACCAGUUAACGGUGGAACA